rnacentral:misc_RNA from 1 species
UUUGGGAUUGAAGCCGGUAAGACAGUAUUUUCUUUUUUUGGGGUUGGCCCUAGUUGGCAGCACUUAAAUGCACUAGUAUGUCCUAAUUUCCACGCCAUACCAUUCAAAGGGACAUGCUUCCGUGCUAUAUUUGUCGCCUCUGUUAAACUAUUGCCCCAACCGCCAAUCUGAAAGGGGCUUCGGAAUUGGAUAUGCAUUAUAGGAUGGAGUGAGGUUAUUUUUAUUGAACUCGUACAUAGACAAGCUCAGUUUUACGUGGACCAAUGGAGUUAAUAGUCUCUCCCUCUGAACAAAAUCACUGGUGGCAUGAUGGGCCAAUGACUCUAGAUUAGUAUGUUUUAUCACCUCUAUUUGGAAAAUCUCACCUGUCUAUUUAUUUCCCAACUCAUCCCAACUUAUCACGUUAUGAAUCAGUGUUGGUAGAUAAACCUACUCCUCUCACCGGAGUCACAGAUUACAGCAAAGAAAAUGGUCAAACUACUCUCAUAUCUUCUUAUCUUUGUCUUCUUCUCCAUAAUUUUCUCACCUGCUAGAUCUUUCUCGUUUCCUCCACAGCCCCAUGUCCUCAAAUCCUUCAACCCCAAAAUCAUUCAGGCUGCGAAGAGCUGUCCGUACACAGUUACCAUCAAGACAAGCUGCUCCUCUUCAUCUUACACCAGAGACAAAAUCAGUCUCGCAUUUGGUGAUUCCUAUGGCAACGAGGUUAGUACGGAAAUUGAACAUAUAUUAAACACGAUCAAAACUCAAGCAAUUUCUUUCCUGGUCUGUUCUCAUGGCCAGUUCUUGGCAAUCAGAAAGAGACAACAUAAAGAUCAAAGAACAACACAUUAAAGAAGGAUGGAUUAUAGUUAAUGGGUAUCUAUCGAUUUCUUUUUUAAACCUAUGAAUAUGAUCUUUAGGUGUACGUGAAGAGGCUUGAUGAUCCAUCUUCAGGGACGUUUGAAAGGUGUUCCACAGAUACGUUCCAGAUAAAUGGACCAUGCGCAUACGAUAUUUGUUAUCUAUACCUGCUUAGGAGUGGAUCGGACGGCUGGAAACCCGAGAGUGUGAAGAUCUACGGUCGAUAUACGAAGACUGUUAAUUUCUAUUAUAACACAUUCCUUCCAAAUGGAGUGUGGUACGGGUUUAAUCUGUGUUCUGGUUAGUCCCUCUUUGCAAUUAUUUAGAUGAUGACAAUACAAAGAUUGUACUUAUUGGAGUGUGAUUUUUGUGGUGAAAUAAUCUGAUCAUUAGAUGAUCAUUGCUUUAGUUUUUAGCAUAAAAAAAAUUUUGCUUAAAUCUUCACAAAAAAUUGACAAUAGUGAUUUAUUGGAAUAAGAUCAAAGUUAG